GGCUCUGGAGAAACCCGGUUUCGGGUGCCGAAGGUGUAAGGCGUACGCGCCGAUCUCUCAGGCAAAAGGACAGAGAGGAA
rnacentral:ncRNA from 1 species